rnacentral:rRNA from 1 species
UACGUAGGGUGCGAGCGUUGUCCGGAAUUAUUGGGCGUAAAGAGCUUGUAGGCGGUUUGUCGCGUCUGCCGUGAAAAUCCGGGGCUCAACCCCGGACUUGCGGUGGGUACGGGCAGACUAGAGUGUGGUAGGGGAGACUGGAAUUCCUGGUGUAGCGGUGAAAUGCGCAGAUAUCAGGAGGAACACCGGUGGCGAAGGCGGGUCUCUGGGCCGAUAUUGACGCUGAGGAGCGAAAGCGUGGGGAGCAAACAGG